UAAAGACGGACUCAACACUAGAGAGUCAGGAGGAGCCAUAAACUUUCAACAUUUCUGCUGUGAGCUGUAGGAUAAUUCAGAUGAACAUGAAGGCGGGACACUGGACUCUGAUCCUGCUACAGUUGAGCAAAACACCAGCAUUUGAGCACAUGAUACAAAGACUGAGGAAUAGAGAGAAAGACUUCACUAUAAACAGACUUCAGCGGACUAUCAUUCAGACACUUCAGACGUGUUGAUGUUCAUUUUUUUUAACAAGCUCUUACUAAACCAUCAUUCUCUGAGCACUAAGGUGCUUUUUCCUUGUGCUGUGAAAGGAUCAGUAACAUCACAAAAAAAAAAAAAAUCCAAAUGGCAUCUGUAAACAAUUGACACUAGAGGUAUUUUCAAAAUUUCACUUAUUCUGAGACACUAUUUCAGUUUUUAGUUACUGUUAACCAGCUGAGAAUCAAAUGUUUCUCAUGUUUACAGUUGUUCAAGUCACAAGAGUUUAAGUUCGGCUCCGGAGAUUAAUAAAGACGGACUCGGCAUUAGAGAGUCAGGUGGAGCUACAAACUUUCUGUAGCUGUUAAAGGGGCAGGAGAGAGCAAAGCCGCACUCCAGACAUUAUAAACCAAGAGUUUAUACAAGCUUAGCUGUUCAGCUAUAACUCGAAGAACUUUUUUUCUAGAAGAAUCUGCACUAUAGAGACCAUGAACUCCUUCACAGUGAACUUGAAUGCUCAGAUCUGUGUUACU
ensembl:lncRNA